GGGUUGUGAGGUUAAGCGACUAAGCGUACACGGUGGAUGCCCUGGCAGUCAGAGGCGAUGAAGGGCGUGCUAAUCUGCGAUAAGCGCCGGUAAGGUGAUAUGAACCGUUAUAACCGGCGAUACCCGAAUGGGGAAACCCAGUGUGAUUCGUCACACUAUCAUUAACUGAAUCCAUAGGUUAAUGAGGCGAACCGGGGGAACUGAAACAUCUAAGUACCCCGAGGAAAAGAAAUCAACCGAGAUUCCCCCAGUAGCGGCGAGCGAACGGGGAGGAGCCCAGAGCCUGAAUCAGCAUGUGUGUUAGUGGAAGCGUCUGGAAAGGCGCGCGAUACAGGGUGACAGCCCCGUACACAAAAGCGCAUAUGCUGUGAGCUCGAUGAGUAGGGCGGGACACGUGGUAUCCUGUCUGAAUAUGGGGGGACCAUCCUCCAAGGCUAAAUACUCCUGACUGACCGAUAGUGAACCAGUACCGUGAGGGAAAGGCGAAAAGAACCCCGGCGAGGGGAGUGAAAAAGAACCUGAAACCGUGUACGUACAAGCAGUGGGAGCCCCACCACUAAGCCAGUGGUGAACUCCACAUACGCAUCCUUUGCUGAGGAGACGGUUAACGGAGCGAAAGCGACGUUCAACCUCAAAAGAAGCAGAGGGGGCUUAGUGGUGGGGUGACUGCGUACCUUUUGUAUAAUGGGUCAGCGACUUAUAUUCUGUAGCAAGGUUAACUGUAUAGGGGAGCCGGAGGGAAACCGAGUCUUAACCGGGCGUUAAGUUGCAGGGUAUAGACCCGAAACCCGGUGAUCUAGCCAUGGGCAGGUUGAAGGUUGGGUAACACUAACUGGAGGACCGAACCGACUAAUGUUGAAAAAUUAGCGGAUGACCUGUGGCUGGGGGUGAAAGGCCAAUCAAACCGGGAGAUAGCUGGUUCUCCCCGAAAGCUAUUUAGGUAGCGCCUCGUGAAUUCAUCUCCGGGGGUAGAGCACUGUUUCGGCUAGGGGGCCAUCCCGGCUUACCAACCCGAUGCAAACUGCGAAUACCGGAGAAUGUUAUCACGGGAGACACACGGCGGGUGCUAAUGUCCGUCGUGAAGAGGGAAACAACCCAGACCGCCAGCUAAGGUCCCAAAGUCAUGGUUAAGUGGGAAACGAUGUGGGAAGGCCCAGACAGCCAGGAUGUUGGCUUAGAAGCAGCCAUCAUUUAAAGAAAGCGUAAUAGCUCACUGGUCGAGUCGGCCUGCGCGGAAGAUGUAACGGGGCUAAACCAUGCACCGAAGCUGCGGCAGCGACACUGUGUGUUGUUGGGUAGGGGAGCGUUCUGUAAGCCUGUGAAGGUGUGCUGUGAGGCAUGCUGGAGGUAUCAGAAGUGCGAAUGCUGACAUAAGUAACGAUAAAGCGGGUGAAAAGCCCGCUCGCCGGAAGACCAAGGGUUCCUGUCCAACGUUAAUCGGGGCAGGGUGAGUCGACCCCUAAGGCGAGGCCGAAAGGCGUAGUCGAUGGGAAACGGGUUAAUAUUCCCGUACUUGGUGUUACUGCGAAGGGGGGACGGAGAAGGCUAUGUUGGCCGGGCGACGGUUGUCCCGGUUUAAGCGUGUAGGUAUGUGUUCCAGGUAAAUCCGGUUCACUUUAACACUGAGGCGUGACGACGAGGCACUACGGUGCUGAAGCAACAAAUGCCCUGCUUCCAGGAAAAGCCUCUAAGCAUCAGGUAACAUCAAAUCGUACCCCAAACCGACACAGGUGGUCAGGUAGAGAAUACCAAGGCGCUUGAGAGAACUCGGGUGAAGGAACUAGGCAAAAUGGUGCCGUAACUUCGGGAGAAGGCACGCUGACACGUAGGUGAAGUGAUUUACUCACGGAGCUGAAGUCAGCCGAAGAUACCAGCUGGCUGCAACUGUUUAUUAAAAACACAGCACUGUGCAAACACGAAAGUGGACGUAUACGGUGUGACGCCUGCCCGGUGCCGGAAGGUUAAUUGAUGGGGUCAGCGCAAGCGAAGCUCCUGAUCGAAGCCCCGGUAAACGGCGGCCGUAACUAUAACGGUCCUAAGGUAGCGAAAUUCCUUGUCGGGUAAGUUCCGACCUGCACGAAUGGCGUAAUGAUGGCCAGGCUGUCUCCACCCGAGACUCAGUGAAAUUGAACUCGCUGUGAAGAUGCAGUGUACCCGCGGCAAGACGGAAAGACCCCGUGAACCUUUACUAUAGCUUGACACUGAACAUUGAGCCUUGAUGUGUAGGAUAGGUGGGAGGCUU
rnacentral:rRNA from 1 species